UUGACGGGGGCCUGCACAAGCGGUGGAGCAUGUGGUUUAAUUGAAGCAACGCGCAGAACCUUACCAGCCUUUGGACAUCCCGCGCUACUUCCAGAGAUGGAAGGUUCCCUUCGGGGACGCGGUGACAGGUGCUGCAUGGCUGUCGUCAGCUCGUGUCGUGAGAUGUUGGGUUAAGUCCCGCAACGAGCGCAACCCUCGUCCUUAGUUGCCAUCAUUCAGUUGGGCACUCUAAGGAAACCGCCGGUGAUAAGCCGGAGGAAGGUGGGGAUGACGUCAAGUCCUCAUGGCCCUUACAGGCUGGGCUACACACGUGCUACAAUGGCGGUGACAGUGGGCAGCAAACCCGCGAGGGUGAGCUAAUCUCCAAAAGCCGUCUCAGUUCGGAUUGUUCUCUGCAACUCGAGAGCAUGAAGGCGGAAUCGGCAGUAAUCGCGGAUCAGCAUGCCGCGGUGAAUACGUUCCCAGGCCUUGUACACACCGCCCGUCACACCAUGGGAGUUGGUUUCACCCGAAGGCAGUGCGCUAACCGCAAGGAGGCAGCUGACCACGGUGGGAUCAGC
rnacentral:rRNA from 1 species